UUUCAUUGGCCAGGCGGGGGCGCUGCCAUGUUGGAGGUAGCGGUGCCUUCUGAGCGGUGGAAACGCCGUGGCUUCACCGGUAGCGUCGGGGAGCGCAGCCUCCUACCUUUCCUCCUCGCUCGAGUGUUGGUGCUGAGAGGCUGCGGCCGGCGGGAUGGAGAGAAGUAGGAUGAACCUGCCCAAGGGGCCGGACUCGCUCUGCUUCGACAAGGACGAGUUCAUGAAGAGAUCACAAGUAGGAAGAGAGGCAGGCAGAGAGAGAGGAGGAAACAGGCUCCCUGCUGAGGAGAGAGCCUGAUGUGGGGCUCGAUCCCAGGACCCUGGAAUCAUGACCUGAGCCGAAGGCAGAGGCCUUAACUCACUGAGCUACCCAGGAAGAUUUCGAUGUCGAUCACUUUGUUUCUGACUGUAGGAAGCGUGUCCAGCUGGAGGAACUAAGAGGAGAUCUGAAAGUCUACUAUAAACUUCUUAAAAUAUCCAUGGUGGAGCUCAUCAACAAGGAUUAUGCAGAUUUUGUCAACCUUUCCACAAGCUUGGUUGGCAUGGACAAAGCCCUCAAUCAACUUUCUGUGCCUUUGGGACAGUUAGAGAAGUUCUGAGUCUCAGGUCAUCUGUCAGUUAAGGAAUUCGGGCAGUAGAUGAACGAAUGUGUAAACAAGAGGACAUAAGGAAGAAAAAGAUGUGUGUGUUGAGGCUUAUACAAGUUAUUUGAUCAGUUGAAAAGAUUGAAAAAAUCUUAAAUUCACAAAGUUCUAAAGAAACCUCUGCACCAGAAGCAAGCAGUCCUCUCUGGACUAGACAGAUUUUGGAGAGAAUUGCCACAGAAUUUAACCAGUUACAGUUUCAUGCUGUUCAGAGCAAAGGCAUGCCUCUUCUGGACAAAGUAAGACCACGUAUAGCCCACAUUUCGGCCAUGCUGCAGCAGUCCCUGGGAGGCCUGCUGCUAGAAGGGCUUCAGACUUCCAAUGUGGACAUCAUACGGCACUGCCUCCGGACUUACGCUACUAUUGACAACACACGGGAUGCAGAAGCGUUAGUCGGUCAAGUACUGGUGAAACCGUACAUAGAUGAGGUUUGUGCCCCCAUGCACCUCAUUCCGCAAACACAGAGCAUCUAAUCUGGCUUCGUUUCUUGACUGGGUGCGAGAGAGCUCAGGGCUCUUCCUUGAAGAUGCUCCUGGUUCCUGCUCUUCUGGUUGUAAGAAAAGGUUGGUCCCGCUUGGUACCCAUCAGCAUGGCAGGAAUCAGGCAUGCGCUCUGGUUUCUUCCAGUGAUGCCAUAGCUCAGGGAUCAUCUUAAUUUAGUAGGGGUGAGGGACUUGCCUAGGAAGAAGAUACGGAUCAGAACAUUUUCAGGUCAAUUUCCAUUUCCAUAAGUUAUACGUUAAUGAAGUUGCCGAAAAGCGUGACCCCACCAAGGCGCCCGUGCCCACUGGAGGAGCUGAAAGACAGCUCUGUGUGCAGGGAAAGUCCGUGAGGGGAGGCGUCUUCGCAGAAUUGAUGUGGCCUAAGUCUUGAAGACCAUGGGGGAGUUUGCCAGGCUAGGAAGGUGGGAGGGAGGGAAUAUUCAAAGAUAAAGGGCUUUGAAGGGCGAGUUAGCAGGGUAGUACCUUAAGUCCGGAACUUGGUUACCCAGUGUUCUUGACCUAUGAGGAUACAGUUAAAUACAGGGAGUCAGUGUAUCCUGCCUCUGAGUGGCCGGAGUAUGGGCUGCACCGUGUGAGGCCGCCAGCAGUCAGCAGCUUCCCAUUUAGAGAGAGUCGGUUUCAUCUAGUUCAGGCUGACAGAAGUCAUGAAGCCAGUCUCAGCGUUUGAGGGCUUUCUUCCAGUCACCUGCCAGUGCGAGUGUUCUUUCUGUCCGGUAAGUAUAAAGCUACCCACCAUGACUUCAGGAUGAAAGGCUUCCAGUUUUAAAACGGGACAGUAUCCCAGUGAUAGAAGUGAAAUUGAAGGAUUAAUUUCAGUAAUCUUCUCAGCUUCAUUAGGACUACUAAAAGUAAAUGAUCUGUCAGUUCUUUGUAUGUAUCCUAUUAUAGUUCAUAGCUCUCUCUGUGGGGGUGAAAAAGAUCACAUUAUUCUUUGUCACUAAAUAAAAAUAUUUUAGUUAUUUAAUUUAUGCCCUUUUCAUUGAACUGAAUCUAAUAGGCUAAAUUAGGGAAGUA